GGACGCGUAGCUCAGCGGGAGAGCACUCCCUUCACACGGGAGGGGUCGUAGGUUCAAUCCCUACCGCGUCCACCA
rnacentral:tRNA from 1 species